AGUCACAUGCUUGCAUCUUAGUCCAAUCACUGUGGCCUGGAGGAUGGGACACCAUGAUUUGCAAGACUCUGGUCACAUGCCCACACCUGUGGCUUCUGAAGCAGAGCACCAGCAGUGACAGUCCCACCAGAACCGCAUGGAAUAGAAAACUGUGCAUUUCCCUAAGGAAAGGGAAUGCCAGAGAAGGGCAGAAGGGAAAUCAGGAAGACAAAACGGUAAAUUACCUACCACAAAUCCAAUUCAUUGGUAUUUUUCCACUUACACUUAACCAAGCAACGAUUUCUCCUGGUCCCAUAAUGGAAAAGAGGGUUUAUCUAGAUUCAUAUAUACAAGACUGAAGAGUGAAGAGAGACCCAGAGAAUGUUCUAAAAUCUGCCAGUUAGCAUAAUCACACAGAGAAAUCUCUGCUUCCAGAGGAGGAGCCAAGUUCAAGUCAGAGGUGAGGAAUGCCAACAGGAAAGCUCACUUUCUCCGGGGAUAUUCAGGCCAACACUAGGAAACCACAGCCAAGUCAGGCAGGGCUUGGGGCGGAACUGCUGACACCUCCACCCUAGCCAAUCCAAGGUGCACGCCUGCCUCAUGCAGCCCAGCGUGACUCCCGCCAUUGGCACACUGUGCCCAUCACAGGCUGGAGCUCCUUUCCUCCACCGUCUUCCCAACUCCUGCCAACCAGAACUUAACUACUCCUUUGGAUUCUGCUUUUCACUUGUUCUUCAUCAGACUAUGGAAGCUUAGACUUCAUAAUUUGGCUGAGACUUCAAAAAUAGUUUUAAAGAAAGCUAUUCCCACCCUGCUAAAUGUCUUCAUGUUGGAGUGGACCUUUCCUCUAUCUGUCAACAGAAUGGAUAAAUUGUGGAAGAGUAAUAUCAGAAUACUACACAUCAGUAAAAAACAACAAACUUCUGCUACAAACAAUCAACAUCGAUGAAUCUUUCAGGCAAAAGGUUAUAGAAACAGAUGAUCAGUGGCCCACGGAUUCCAGGUGAGGAUCUGGGACCCAGACAUCCAGAUAUUGAAAACACAGGGAUGGAGUCUGUAUGGAAAAAAUUAAAAUAUAGCAAAAUGUGAAAUACGGAAGAGAAAUCUUUCAAUUUCCCAAUGGAAGUGAGAAAAGAGCAAAGAAAAGUAUUGGUCUUCCAAAACAAAUAGAGGACGGAGCUGCUGCUGUUGCAUGGUGUCUAGAAACUCAGACAACUUCAUCAUUCCAUAUUUGCAUCCAAGAGAGAGAAAGAAAAACUACAAUCAUUUUCCAUUUACCCAUCAACCCAUCAACCUCCAAAGACAGGGUCUCACUAUGUUGCCCCAGUUGGCCUUGAACUGCUGGACUCAAGGGAUCCUCCUGCCUCAGCAUCCUGAGUAGCUGGGUCUACAGGCAUGAACCACCAGGCCCAGAACCCUGUCUUUUGAAAGCCAUAUGCGAUCUGUCUGCCCUGAAGUGACUACUUCAUCUCCAACCAGCCCUUGGCUGGCAAAGUCAGGAAGACUCCAGUCUUUCCUGAAGACCAGGGGAGAGUUUAUAACUCUAGCAUCAAAGUCAGCAGCUGUUCAUCUAGAAGACAACUUCCCAAAAGUCAAUGUCUUUGCCUGAAGCUUUUCUUCCCAGAUCUCCUAUGGUGAAACAACCAAAGGGAAGAAGAAUGUGGGCAGCCCUCAGUAAGACAGGAGAUGAGCAUCAACAUUGACCCAUUCUUUCUUCCAGUCCUCGAUGCUUACCUUGUACAUUCUUCUUUGUCUUCCGACUCAGUGCCUUUAGGGUAUGGACGUUGCCUGGUCCCACACAAGCCAAGCAUCAAAUGGAUGGCUCAACAAGGAGGCCAAGACCAGCUAAUGUUUAGUGAGCACCCAAAGGGGCCACACUGGAGAGAACAGCACAGCUCCGUCUGAGAAACAGCUGUUCCUUCCUGCCUGAGAGGCAGAGUGAUAGAAGAUAUCACAGAAUGUUGCUGCUUUGUCUUCCACCCUGAACCCUCCACGACCUCCCUGUAGCUUCCUGAUUUUAAGUAGACAUCAAAUGAUUCUUAAUCCUUUCUGGGUCUUGGAACGAUUUGAAAAUUGUCAACAGUACUGGGAUUCCCAGAAUAAUGCACAUAUGUACAUACUCAGAUAUUCCCCAAGCCCUGGAUAUAAUUUUAAGGGAGUUCACAGACCACACUCCCCCACCCAUCUGUGGACCCAGAUUCUGUGGGUUCGAGAUUCAGAAGCCCUGUUUCUAGGCAGGCCCUCUGUUGCUAACGCCCCUCGAGAACAUCACCCUAGAUGAUUAUCCCUUCUUCCUCCACUCCUUCCCACCUUCUCCAACUGCUGGGUUUCAGCACAAAGAUUGCUUGCCAGUUAAACUGGCACCAUGGACCGCACAGUAGUUGUUUCUUGGGUCUAGAGGAAACAGCCAGAUUCCUUUAAGUAAAUCAUGUCUUAGU
ensembl:lncRNA LINC02290 long intergenic non-protein coding RNA 2290